rnacentral:rRNA from 1 species
CGUGUUCGAAAGGGAAACAGCCCAGACCACCAGCUAAGGUCCCAAAAUAUAUGUUAAGUGGAAAAGGAUGUGGCGUUGCCCAGACAACUAGGAUGUUGGCUUAGAAGCAGCCAUCAUUUAAAGAGUGCGUAAUAGCUCACUAGUCGAGUGACACUGCGCCGAAAAUGUACCGGGGCUAAACAUAUUACCGAAGCUGUGGAUUGUCCGUAGGACAAUGGUAGGAGAGCGUUCUAAGGGCGUCGAAGCAUGAUCGCAAGGACAUGUGGAGCGCUUAGAAGUGAGAAUGCCGGUGUGAGUAGCGAAAGACGGGUGAGAAUCCCGUCCACCGAUUGACUAAGGUUUCCAGAGGAAGGCUCGUCCGCUCUGGGUUAGUCGGGUCCUAAGCUGAGGCCGACAGGCGUAGGCGAUGGAUAACAGGUUGAUAUUCCUGUACCACCUAGUAUCGUUUUAAUCGAUGGGGGGACGCAGUAGGAUAGGCGAAGCGUGCUAUUGGAUUGCACGUCCAAGCAGUAAGACUGAGUGUUAGGCAAAUCCGGCACUCAUAAGGUCAAGCUGUGAUGGGGAGAGGAAAUUGUUUCCUCGAGUCGUUGAUUUCACACUGCCAAGAAAAGCCUCUAGAUAGAUAACAGGUGCCCGUACCGCAAACCGACACAGGUAGUCAAGAUGAGAAUUCUAAGGUGAGCGAGCGAACUCUCGUUAAGGAACUCGGCAAAAUGACCCCGUAACUUCGGGAGAAGGGGUGCUCUUUAGGGUUAACGCCCAGAAGAGCCGCAGUGAAUAGGCCC